GCAGUAGCCACGGGAAUACGGAGGGAGCUAGCGUUGUUCGGAAUUACUGGGCGUAAAGCGCGCGUAGGCGGUUACUCAAGUCAGAGGUGAAAGCCCGGGGCUCAACCCCGGAACUGCCUUUGAAACUAGGUGACUAGAAUCUUGGAGAGGUCAGUGGAAUUCCGAGUGUAGAGGUGAAAUUCGUAGAUAUUCGGAAGAACACCAGUGGCGAAGGCGACUGACUGGACAAGUAUUGACGCUGAGGUGCGAAAGCGUGGGGAGCAAACAGGAUUAGAUACCCCUGUAGUCCCUGUCUCUUAACA
rnacentral:rRNA from 1 species